rnacentral:rRNA from 1 species
UAUCCGCCUACGUCCUACGGGAGAAAGCAGGGGACCUUCGGGCCUUGCGCUAUCAGAUGAGCCUAGGUCGGAUUAGCUAGUAGGUGAGGUAAUGGCUCACCUAGGCGACGAUCCGUAACUGGUCUGAGAGGAUGAUCAGUCACACUGGAACUGAGACACGGUCCAGACUCCUACGGGAGGCAGCAGUGGGGAAUAUUGGACAAUGGGCGAAAGCCUGAUCCAGCCAUGCCGCGUGUGUGAAGAAGGUCUUCGGAUUGUAAAGCACUUUAAGUUGGGAGGAAGGGCAGUAAGUUAAUACCUUGCUGUUUUGACGUUACCAACAGAAUAAGCACCGGCUAACUUCGUGCCAGCAGCCGCGGUAAUACGAAGGGUGCAAGCGUUAAUCGGAAUUACUGGG